rnacentral:rRNA from 1 species
UUGCUGGAGGUAUCAGAAGUGCGAAUGCUGACAUAAGUAACGAUAAAGCGGGUGAAAAGCCCGCUCGCCGGAAGACCAAGGGUUCCUGUCCAACGUUAAUCGGGGCAGGGUGAGUCGACCCCUAAGGCGAGGCCGAAAGGCGUAGUCGAUGGGAAACAGGUUAAUAUUCCUGUACUUGGUGUUACUGCGAAGGGGGGACGGAGAAGGCUAUGUUGGCCGGGCGACGGUUGUCCCGGUUUAAGCGUGUAGGCUGGUUUUCCAGGCAAAUCCGGAAAACCAAGGCUGAGGCGUGAUGACGAGGCACUACGGUGCUGAAGCGACAAAUGCCCUGCUUCCAGGAAAAGCCUCUAAGCAUCAGGUAACAUCAAAUCGUACCCCAAACCGACACAGGUGGUCAGGUAGAGAAUACCAAGGCGCUUGAGAGAACUCGGGUGAAGGAACUAGGCAAAAUGGUGCCGUAACUUCGGGAGAAGGCACGCUGAUAUGUAGGUGAAGCGACUUGCUCGUGGAGCUGAAAUCAGUCGAAGAUACCAGCUGGCUGCAACUGUUUAUUAAAAACACAGCACUGUGCAAACACGAAAGUGGACGUAUACGGUGUGACGCCUGCCCGGUGCCGGAAGGUUAAUUGAUGGGGUUAGCGGCAACGCGAAGCUCUUGAUCGAAGCCCCGGUAAACGGCGGCCGUAACUAUAACGGUCCUAAGGUAGCGAAAUUCCUUGUCGGGUAAGUUCCGACCUGCACGAAUGGCGUAAUGAUGGCCAGGCUGUCUCCACCCGAGACUCAGUGAAAUUGAACUCGCUGUGAAGAUGCAGUGUACCCGCGGCAAGACGGAAAGACCCCGUGAACCUUUACUAUAGCUUGACACUGAACAUUGAGCCUUGAUGUGUAGGAUAGGUGGGAGGCUUUGAAGUGUGGACGCCAGUCUGCAUGGAGCCGACCUUGAAAUACCACCCUUUAAUGUUUGAUGUUCUAACGUUGGCCCGUAAUCCGGGUUGCGGACAGUGUCUGGUGGGUAGUUUGACUGGGGCGGUCUCCUCCUAAAGAGUAACGGAGGAGCACGAAGGUUGGCUAAUCCUGGUCGGACAUCAGGAGGUUAGUGCAAUGGCAUAAGCCAGCUUGACUGCGAGCGUGACGGCGCGAGCAGGUGCGAAAGCAGGUCAUAGUGAUCCGGUGGUUCUGAAUGGAAGGGCCAUCGCUCAACGGAUAAAAGGUACUCCGGGGAUAACAGGCUGAUACCGCCCAAGAGUUCAUAUCGACGGCGGUGUUUGGCACCUCGAUGUCGGCUCAUCACAUCCUGGGGCUGAAGUAGGUCCCAAGGGUAUGGCUGUUCGCCAUUUAAAGUGGUACGCGAGCUGGGUUUAGAACGUCGUGAGACAGUUCGGUCCCUAUCUGCCGUGGGCGCUGGAGAACUGAGGGGGGCUGCUCCUAGUACGAGAGGACCGGAGUGGACGCAUCACUGGUGUUCGGGUUGUCAUGCCAAUGGCACUGCCCGGUAGCUAAAUGCGGAAGAGAUAAGUGCUGAAAGCAUCUAAGCACGAAACUUGCCCCGAGAUGAGUUCUCCCUGACUCCUUGAGAGUCCUGAAGGAACGUUGAAGACGACGACGUUGAUAGGCCGGGUGUGUAAGCGCAGCGAUGCGUUGAGCUAACCGGUACUAAUGAACCGUGAGGCUUAACCUU